rnacentral:rRNA from 1 species
CCUACGGGCGGCAGCAGUGAGGAAUAUUGGUCAAUGGGCGUAAGCCUGAACCAGCCAAGUCGCGUGAGGGAUGAAGGUUCUAUGGAUCGUAAACCUCUUUUAUAAGGGAAUAAAGUGUGGGUCGCGUCCUGUUUUGUAUGUACCUUAUGAAUAAGGCUCGGCUAACUCCGUGCCAGCAGCCGCGGUAAUACGGAGGAUCCGAGCGUUAUCCGGAUUUAUUGGGUUUAAAGGGUGCGUAGGCGGCCUUUUAAGUCAGCGGUGAAAGUCUGUGGCUCAACCAUAGAAUUGCCGUUGAAACUGGGAGGCUUGAGUAUGUUUGAGGCAGGCGGAAUGCGUGGUGUAGCGGUGAAAUGCUUAGAUAUCACGCAGAACCCCGAUUGCGAAGGCAGCCUGCCAAGCCAUGACUGACGCUGAUGCACGAAAGCGUGGGGAUCAAACAGGAUUAGAUACCCCAGUAGUC